AGUGCGCGAGGUAAACAUGUCAGAGUCAAAGACUUAAUGUCUUUUCAUCAAGUUUAAAUACCUUUUGGUGUGAAAUAUUCAGCAGAUUAUCGCAACAAAUCAAGCGAGUGUACAUGCCCCUUCAAAUCGUCCCCUCUUAUUACAAAGUUUAGCGUUAGAAUGAAUGGUGUAUUUGCAUGAUAUACUGUCAGUCAUAUAUCAUAAAAGACAUAUUGUUAAACUCUCGCAAAGAUCUCGGUUUUUACUCUUUUCAAGAGGGAUUUUAAAUAAUUUACCUUGAACAGAGAACCUCAACAAAAAUUUCGACGUCUUUUAAAGAACAUUUAAAGUUAAACCUGGGAGGGAAAGUGGAUCGCGAAUUCUAAUGAUGCCACAAUUAUCCUCAGUAUGUCUUGAAGUAUAUAAAAAUUAUACUGAGUAAAAAUACUGAGGCUAAGACACUACUGUAUAUAAAAUACUCAUAGAACACGUGCAGCGCGUGAUGGACCGUCGUGCGGAGACCGUCCUCUGUCUGUAUGUCCUAGUCCUUGGACUUCUACAGGGAUGCCAAGGAGCCGCCCCACAGUUUGGGGGACUCCCGACGUCCGUCACGGUUGGUGAACAAGAGACGGCGGACCGGCUGAUCUACACGCUGACGGUGACGGACGCCGACAACGACCCGUUCAACUGUGACAUAUCCGCCUCCACCCCAGCGGCAGCUCCAUUCAGAGUUCUCAAAGACCCAGUCACUAACAAAUUCGGCGUCUACACUAACUCUCCGACGUUUGACUUCACUGCCAACCCCCACGUACCAACUAACAGUGCAGUGUGACGACAACACGGGGAACACACCAACAGCCGUGCUCUCAGUGGACAUCCUUGACGGAGACAAAAUCACCUUCACCAACAUCCCGGCGACGACUACUCAUGCAGCUUUGACAACGCUGGUAAAUUCCGCCAUAUUUGACGUGGAUGCUACAGAUCUCCUCGGUCAUACGCCGUUAACGUACACAAUAACAAGUAUUCCCGCCACAACGAGCUUUCAAAUAGACGGAACAACGGGUGCUAUCACAACAGCUCGGGAUCUAAAGUUCGAAACCAAUUCGGCCAUAGAUCUGUACGUCACCGUGUCCGACGGCUCCAUCGCCGUCACUGAAAAACUGAGGGUCCAGCUCACAGACCUUAAUAACGUGCCCACGUUCACUAACCUGCCCGCAACAAUCAGCCAGAAUGAGGACACUGCUUCCGGCACGGUUCUAUACACACUGACGUCAUUUGACGCUGAUGCAGGUGCAACGCUGUCGUAUACAAUGACAGUCAAUCCACCCGCAUAUUCCGGAUUAUUUACGUUCGCAACAAACACUCUGCAGCUGUCUCUGACGGCGGGCCAGACUUUUGACUACGAGACAAGGAGUUCCUUCACAGUUUCGUUUACAGUCACGGAUACCAUGGCAACCACGGGGCCCAUUGACCUCACGGUCAACAUCAACAACAUCAACGAGGCCUGCUAUUUCGACAAAACGUAUUACUACGUCACGCUCGCAGAAGCUACGGCUGGCAGUGUGACGUACAAUCCGAAUUUCCUAGUUCGGGAUUAUGAUGGGGCGGCGACCUAUACUUUGUCGUUUGCCGCGGGAAACAACAGCAACAGAUUUUCCAUUGACGCCAACAGCGGCAUCAUCUCUUUCGCCGUGGACUACAACAUUGAUAACGGCGCCAUGCCGUCGUCCGUCAUCCUAACGGUGGUGUGCACGGACACCACCAGCAAGACCGGAACCUCCAAGGUGGAGGUCACAAUCACGGAUGUUAAUGACAACGCCCCGUCGUUCGCCCAGUCCACCUACAGUAUCACCGUGGACCAGUACGACGCGCCGGGCUCACUGAUGGGGACUAUAUCACCCACAGACGCCGACUCAGGGGUCAACGGCGAGUUCUCGUGCUCCGGAAGUUCGACAGCGUCAUCAGCUACGACUUACUACUCAAUAGGAGCCGACUGUGGAGUUUAUCUGUUAUCCUCCCCAUCUGGGAACUUGGAUUACGGCACGAUUUCGAGAUUUACAAUCACAGCGGUAGACAAGGGUUCCCCGUCCCUGACCGGAACCACCUACGUAGACAUUAUCUACAAAGAGGCCACCACCACAACAACCACAACUACUGCAGCACCCUCUACCUACAACUUCUGGGAUGACAGCGGCGCUGUGGCGGCUUUCUCUAUCGCCAUGGUUCUAGGAACCAUUUUACUCGCUGCACUUCUAUACUACUUGUUGAGAUGUUGCUUUACGGGAAUGUGCUGCGGUCCGGAACCAUGUGACUUCAUGGAAUGUUGCAGAAGCUACGAGAGACCACGUCGUCUUCAGAGACGCUUGGUUACCCCUGAAAAAUCAAAACGACCAAGAAGGGACGAUUUCGAUUACUGGAGAGAAGACAGUGACUAUGGCUCAUUGGACAAGCAUGAACCUCCUUCCAGGAGACCAUCCCCCGCGCGUGUUCACGGCCCACGUGAGUACAAAGAUUUACCGAAUGGCAACAGGCUGACCCCGACAGACAUCGAGUUCCAGCCCCGGAGGCUAGUGUCGCGCCCAAUGGCGCUAUCGUAUUACUGAUCGGGAUCGAUCUUCACACCAUUUUUGAAGAUGCUUUAACAUUUGUUCAUGACUGUAUUUCAUUCACUAGAGCAUUGACAUUUUUCGUACUGUUAUUUAUAUUCAAUUCACAUUGUAUACAUAUUUUUGUAUUGUUUACAACUGUUUUUUGUUGAAAUAAAAAAAUCUAUCAACU
rnacentral:misc_RNA from 1 species